rnacentral:rRNA from 1 species
UGGUUAAGUGACUAAGCGUACACGGUGGAUGCCUUGGCAGUCAGAGGCGAUGAAAGACGUAGUAACUUGCGAUAAGCCCAGAUUAGGUAGUAACAACCAUUUGAGUCUGGGAUUUCUGAAUGGGGAAACCCACGUGCAUAAGCACGUAUCCUUACCUGAAUACAUAGGGUAAGGAGGCGAACCGGGGGAACUGAAACAUCUAAGUACCCCGAGGAAAAGAAAUCAACCGAGAUUCCGAAAGUAGCGGCGAGCGAAAUUGGACUAGCCCUUAAGCUUUACACGCGUUAGACGAACGGUCUGGAAAGUCCGACGAUACAGGGUGAUAGUCCCGUAGUUGACGACGUGUGUUCAGUGAAAUCGAGUAGGGCGGGACACGUGAUAUCCUGUCUGAAUAUGGGGGG